rnacentral:rRNA from 1 species
UACGAGGGAUCCUAGCGUUGUUCGGAAUCAUUGGGCGUAAAGGGUGUGUAGGCGGCCCUGUAAGUCAGUUGUGAAAGCCCCGGGCUCAACCCGGGAAGUGCUUCUGAUACUGCAGGGCUUGAAUGUUGGAGAGGUGAGUGGAAUUCCAGGUGUAGUGGUGAAAUACGUAGAUAUCUGGAGGAACACCGGUGGCGAAGGCGGCUCACUGGCCAUACAUUGACGCUGAGACACGAAAGCGUGGGUAGCAAACAGG